rnacentral:lncRNA from 1 species
UCUUUAUCCUUCAUGCUGCUGCAAGAUGGGGAGAAGGUGAACAAUCAGCCGGAGCUCUGAUUGCUUACCUUGUCUGUCACCUCUUUCAGCAGAUCCCCUAGCUCGGCGACUUGGGGGACUCCUACUACAUGGUUUGUAUCGCGCUGGACCAAGCCUGAAACUACAAGUAAGCUUCAAGUGAAAUUGAUACAUUACCUUGUGCAUCUCCACCAGUUAAAGAUACCACCCCUGGAUGGAGGAAGAGUACUGCCAGAGAAGCUGCCACAUCUACCUAUGAGACAGAUAAGGCAAGUCAAGAUGAUACCACACUCCGAUACUUAGAAGUUUCGUGAUUACGAGAUCAUUCUCCCACAAUAUUUCCUAAUGUCAUUUGUACUAAAUCAUUCACUGGUACUCACUAAAGGAGAGCUUGAACCUAUGUACUUGUGUAAACCCUUCACAAUUAAUGAGAACUCUUCUAUUCCGUGGACGUAGCCAAUCUGGGUGAACCACGUACAUCUUGUGUUUGCUUUCCUAUCUCUAUCCAUUUAUAUACUUAUCCACACUAAUGACCGGAGCAAUCUAGCGAAGAUCACAAAAGCGACCGUUUUCGCUACCUAGGAUCUAUCUUGCAAGAGAACGGAGAAUUAGAUGGAGAUCUCAACCAUAGAAUACGAGCUGGAUGGAUGAAGUGUAAGAGUGCAUCCGGCGUGUUGUGUGAUCGUCGUAGGACACUGAAGCUCAAGGGAAAAUUUUAUAGGACGGCAAUAAGGCUAGCGAUGUUGUAUGGCACAGAAUGUUGGGCGGUGAAACAUCAACACGUACACAAAAUGGGUGUAGCGGAGAUGAGGAUGCUUCGUGGGAUGUGUGGGCACACGAGAAAGGAUAAGAUUGAGAAUGAGGAUAUCCGAGGUAAAGUAGGAGUAGCCGAAAUUGAAGGAAAGAUGAGAGAAAAUCGGUUCCGGUAAUUCGGACAUGUGCAAAGAAGGCCGACUGACGCUCCGGUUCGAAGAUGUGACUACGGGACAGAGGUUCAGGGCCGAAGGGGUAGAGGAAGACCUAGGAAAACUUUGGAAGAGACUCUAAGAAAAGGCUUAGAGUACUUGGAUCUAACGGAGGACAUGACACAAAACCGAGCGCAAUGGCGUUCUAGGAUUCAUAUAGCCGACCCCACUUAGUGGGAAAAGGCUUUGUUGUUGUUGUUGUUGUUGUUGUGGUAACAUAUUAUAAAAAGUAAAAAGAAUUCUUAUGUGUAAUAUAAACUUAACUCGUACCAUCUGGUAGCUGUCACAAAAUUAUAGCAUGUAAAUUAAAUUUUGAGUGAAUUUUAUUAGAAUCCAAAGCAGAGGGGGUGUUGGGGGUGUGCAAAAGGUGAAGUGGCAUAGGGCCCUGAAUUCCUGAAGGGCCCAAAUAUUUUUGGUCCUCCUAUAUAUUACAUAUGAGUAUAAAUUUUCUUAUAAAAAAAUUAAUUGAAAAGAAAAAUCAUCAUCAUAUGAUUUUAUCUAUAUUACAAUUGGUUAAGUGGAGCUUAUACGUAAUAUACUAAUUCUCCACUUUUCUCUAGCAAUAAAAAAACUUGUGUAUUACUUUUUUCUACUUUUCUUUUCAAUAAAAAACUAACUUGUGUGUUACUUUCUUCCACAAACAGAAAAGUAUUUCCGUAUAUCUCUUUUAGUCGUGCUCCAUUUUUUCAUGGAUGAACCCUAAUGGCAGUUGCAAAUUAUUCAAUUAGUAAGAGUGAGAUGCUGAUUUCAAUUGAGUUUGGAUAUUGGUUGUUGAAUUUUGUAUGAAUAUAUUUUCCAAAAAAUUAUUAUUCAUUAAAUAAGGAGGACAUUUUUAUUAGAAUCGCACAGGGUCUCCAAAAUGUCAGAGACGGCCCUGCUCCAACACAAUUCUUUAAGUGUAUAUAAAUGUUUUUGUUGUGAUAUAAUUCUGAAUAUUUUAUUCUUAACUAACAUCUAUUAAAUUCCACAAAUUCUAAAACCUUUUUAUGAAAUAGUGGUAACGAGUAGAGAAGAAGUAAAAACAUAAAAAAUGAAAUGGGACCUUUUCUAACUCUUAUCCACUCCCCGUUCACCUUUUCUAUCCAAACAGAACUUUGACAUAUACAAAGAUUACUUGUGGGUCUAUACUUUGUCGAAAGAAAGGAGUUUUCUGCCUUUGCCACCAAGUUUAGAUGUUCCAUCCGUAAUUUGUUUUGAUAGACCCGAAAUGUCUUUGAUCUUUGCUUUGUUAUUUCUUUCUUGUGGAAAUCGAAAGUGAAGCAAAACUUACACUGGACUAAUCAUUAUGCUAAAUGAUAGUUUGGUAUGCCUUAUGAAAUCUGAGGAAAUAAAAAGCUUACCCUAGCUAAUAUGCAUUGGCAAUCUCAAAAUAUUCCUUUAGAAAAUCAGACGGACACAACACCACGUCUUUUAUGCAUAUUAUGCUAAUUGUACCUUCCUAACUAAGCUUUAACUAUGUCUUUGUCUCACACACACAACCGUAAAAGGAAAAUAUAUAGGGGUAAUUUAGAAGCUAAUGCAUGAAUAUACGCAAUUGAUAUAUUUACUUGGAUUUCAAGUUAUCAAUCGUAAAAGGAAAAUAGUUGGUUCUUUAGUUAGUUCUUCUUCGGAGUCAGCGAUACUUGUUGUUAAACAGUGUCUUCAUGUUCGUUAUAUUGCUAUAUUUGUGCAUAGAAUUUCUCAAGUUUCAAAACGCGAAGUUUUUUUACUCUUUCACCCAUAAUAGAGUUCAAUUUAUUUUGGAGUGUUAUCUCAGUCUUCUAAGUUUGGGUGUAGAUGAUUUUAAGACUUAGAUGCUUUUUGGGUGUAGAUGAUUUUAAGACUUGGAUGAUUUCCUUUGCUUAUUCUCGGGCAUGUCUAGCCCUCAAAUCCACCAGUACAGUGGCAACUAGUUUGGCCAAGUUGGUGUUUUAUGUCUCAUUGAAGUUUCUUUGGAUUCAGGUCUAUGAUGGAGCCACAAUUUCUGUUAAGGAUGGUCAUUUUAAGUGACUAUAAAAUUAUGAUAAAUUGAGCUUAUAUAUGAAAAUUAUUUAAGAAAUUAUUGUAAAUAACUUAUUUAGCAUAAAUUCCAACCUUGAUAUCAUUAUGACUUAAUUAUUUACACUAUAACAGAAGAGGCUUUUCAACAAUGGUGAAAAGCAGUCAUUGAUGCGAAUUUACUUAACACACAAAUUAAACCCUCUUGUAUCAAUUGUAGUAAAGAAUGUAAGUAGGGAUCGUUCUGGACCGGGGAUUAGGAGGGCUUGCUAAAAACCUCUAAACUAACUUAAAAACAUAUAAACAAAGCUAAAAAUACUAAACUAGACUCAAAGAAUUCAAAACAAACUCAAAGAACUCAAAACAAGCUAAAAACGCUCAAAUCUGCCUAAAAACACAAACUGGGCAAAUUUGGACUCUAACACACUUUUGGACAAAUUUUGGUUUUAACUUGGUUCGAAACACUUAAAAACACAAACUAAAUCAGUUUCUAACUAAUAUGACUCAACUAGGUAAAGGGGGUUUUGGUUUUGACGAAUUUGAAAACAAAACAAGUAAAUUAAAGAAAUAAUGAAAUCUGCACGAAUUUGAGUAAAUUGAAUGGAUGGAAGACUAGCUAGGAGGUUCUUCUCCACACAUGACACACUUGCAAACAAAACGAUUUCCAAUUGCUUUUCAAUAAACUACGAAUUCUCAACGCCCCAGAUUAACUGUGAAUUGCACUAAUUAACCCUCAGAUUUUCCUAAUUUCAUUGAAUUGGAUGAUUGCAUACAACAACCCAAAGCAUUCCCCACAAGUUCCCUAUAUGAAUUGCGUAAUAGAGAUACAAGCAAGAAUCAUUAAGUUCUAUGAAAAUCAUAAGCAUUGACGAAACACUUGUAACUAUGAAUUGCAUGAAACUUAUGCCAAGAAUUUACUUAACACGGUUGUGACGAGCAACCUUUACUACUUGUGAAUAUAAGUUCAUAACGAUUAGGUGAAACUCCCUUAUAUCCUCGCAUCAGAUUUAUGCAUGAAAAUUAAGCGUGCACUCUCAACCAACAUACACAAAUCAGUUUUAAUUCAAAUGGAUAAGUAAAUUGAAUUCACAACUUAUGAAUCACAACUUAAAGUAAUCAAAUCAUAUUGCAAGCAUGAACAUGGUUUCGAAUUCCCCCUAGCUAAUGGGGGGUUUAGUUCCUCAUACUCACAAAGCAAAGAUAAACAAAUUUAGACAUUGAAAACAAAAGAAUGAAAACACCUAAAAACGCUCCAACAAUCCAACUUGAAUGGCAAGCAUGUCCAAGGGUCCCCAUUCUUCUCUUUGUUGUGGCACAAGGUGUGGUUUGUUGGAUGCGUAUGGAUAUAUGGAAGGGAAUGGCUAAAUGUGUUUAGGUUGGAUGGAGGUCAUGGCAAGGAAAGGGAAAUGAAGGUGCAUGGAAUUGUGCUUUUGUUAUGGGAAUGUGUAGAAUGGUUAAAAAGAAAAGACUCUGCCUUGCGACAAAAUGUGUCUUCCUCCCUUCUCCCUAAACUGUCAGUGUGAAUGUAUCUUUGGAUGGAUCUCCCCUUUUUGUUAUGGUGAAGGGUGGAUGUAUUUAUAGGCUAGGGAGAUGACCACCAUCUAAUUAAGGUGGUAGUGGUGUAUGUUAUGGUAAUGAGUGGAUGUAAUGGGUGUAGUGGGUGAAUGUUUGGUAAUGAGUGGAUGUAAUGGGUGUAGUGGGUGAGUGUUUGGUAAUGAGGGGAUGUAAUGGGUGUAGUGGAUGGAUGUUUGGUAAUGAGUGGAUGUAAUGGGUGUAGUGGGUGAGUGUUGUGGUAAUGAGUGGAUGUAAUGGGUGUAGUGGAUGUAUGUUUGUAGUUGUAGGUCAACACACUUGCACACACACAUGCUGAUUUCUAGCCUUCAAAUCUUCAAAAACGUACAUCCUCAUGUCUCCAUGCUUGCACUAUCCAAUCUUGGCCCAAAAAUGCUCCAAAAUGCUCCAAAUAGCACUUUGUUGCUAACUUUGUUAUUUGAACCUACAAACACACGAAAUAGCUUAAAGUACUAAAAUAACUAGAAUUAAACUAAGUAAAUGCCAAGAAACAAGCUAACUAAGUUGCAUAAAUAUGCUCCUAUCAGUCAUACCUAAUGCGCAUUGGUGCAGAUCGAAUCAAAGUGAUUGGAUAUGAGUAUGAGGACGAAAUUAAAUAUCUUUUAUUUGAUUAAGAGGCAAAGAAUGAAUUUGAAAUUAAGUGUUGGACCCUCAACUAUGUACAAAUUACAUUUGUAUAAGGAGGGUUAACUAUAAAUAUAAAAGCCAAGCAAUAUCAAUAUAGCACAUAUAAAUACAAGAUUUCUAAAUUAUGAGAUGGGUUAUAUAACCCUCCUAGGCUUUAACUGGCCCCGCCAACGAUUCAAGACCUCUUGGAUUUAUCCUAAAUGUCCUAGUUAAAGUCUCAAAUUCAAAUCAUCCUUUAUACGGAUAUUUAAAAUUUGAAGUGGUUUUUCUAAGUAAAUAAGUAUAACUAAUGGUGCUAAUGUGAAGUGUUGUAAAACAUGAGGACAAAAGGCAUUAUUGAUUUUUUUUUUUUACUUUUUGAAAACUGGAAUAGAUAAUCAGGGCAAAGAUGUCAGAAAAUAACACAGAAAGCCAACAGUAAGGCCAACAAUAAACAAAAACAACCCAAGCAAGAAAAGGGAUAAAGAGACGGGCAGGAGAACUAAGUUCCACUGUCACCCCACACCUACCAACAAAUCAAGGGGGAUAAGGCAAACCGUCUUUAUCAAGAACAUAAACCAACAAAGAUGGAGGUCGAUUAACCCAACAGAAACUGCACAUCUCCGUACAAUGGAGCGAUGCCAACUAAUCC